UCGCUUCGGUUCAGUCUCCGCCGAAGACCUCGUGGCACGUAUCAGUCAUUUCGCGGCACCGGUUAGCGGUACACUCGUGCGUGUGCGUUGCGCGUGUGCGGUUUUUUUUUUUUCCCCGUCGUCGCGCGUCCGUUUCCCGACACGCACACACGCACACCGUGUGUUUCACACAGUGCUAUCAAAUAUUCCAAUAACGCUUAUGUGUUUGUCGAUCGUCGUUCUUUUUCUCGUUAUUUUUCCCGUCUUGUCUACACGAGAUUUUUUUUUUUUUUUCUACGGCGCAGUUGUCCGCAACGUGUGCACCUACACCCGCCCGCUCCCCGUACAUAUUUGUCUGCCUGCACUGCACUCCCUGCUCCGGCGGCCAUCAAGGAUAUUCACCCUGAGGGAUAAACAACGCAUUCAGAAAGAAACGAAUCAUAAUAUUUUCCAACACUACCGUUCAGGAUGAUCAGUACCGUGUGAUGCCCAGCGUCAGUCCGUAGUCUACAGCUUCAGCUGCGAUGGGUAACUCGAACAGUCACGGCAGCUCGUACGCGACCAGCGACACACAAGUGAUACCACCGCACUCAUGGGCUUACUCGUUCCCGCGGUCGCAGUACUUCAGACCACCUGCCACGGGCUCAAAGGUGCUGCCGCCGCACGUGCCCAGCCAACGGCUCAGACCCACCGAGAACGGUUCCAUGUUGCACAAUGUCGGCACUAUAAACGGCAAACGGCCAUACGAGUACAUACACCGUGACGACCUACCUCAUGGAUAUGAAAUGCAAAGACACGCACCACGGGAUGGUAGACGAGAUCGUAUGGGAUACAACAUGUACACCAGUGAACCAGAUUUACGGUUCACAGACUCUCGUCAACCACCACCAAUGGGUUACCAACAUCAUAACAACCAUGGGGAUAAUGGAGCUGUCAAAGGUAGAAUGUCCCGGUCAAAAAAGAAGUAUAGAGCACCUCAAAUACCUCCUGCUUCGUCACAUCACAAUGGAAUGGAAAGUUCUUCGCCAGACUCGUAUCAACACUGGGAGAACCACAGAGAUAACAGUAGGUCUAGUCAAAAUAAGGGUGGUAUGCCGAGGUUAAGAUUAUUUAAGACUAGAGCAGAGACAAAACGUAAGCUUAGUAAAGAUGAAAUAAAGAAUGAAGAAAUUCAGUCUAAUGUCCAACCCCAAGCCAGCAAUUUACACCGAAGCAUGUCUUCCCCACAAUUUCAAGCCGAAUUGAAACGUGUUACGGAAAGGCUGAGAGAAAAGGAAUUCCGUCAUCCGCCCAUAGGCCGUGCUUCGGAAAGCUCGUCCAAUCCAGCGUCCGAAGAACGUGCGGUGAUCAUCGCUAACAACGACAAGCACCGAGAGAGUCCUGUGAACUCGAACAGAGAACGGUUGAUGGCUGACCGGGCAAAAAGGAUGUCUAGAUCGAUACCGAACCUUGCGACAAAAGUACAAGAAGACGAUGAUGUACGUUGUACGGGCGAAGGUUCAUCGGCCACGGGUUCCAACGAUGAGAACGCGAAGAACAAAAGAGACAACAAGCCGAAAACAAGUGCACCAGAUACUAAACCGAAAACAUUCUAUUUCGGUAUGAACGAAUUCAACGACGAGAAAAAACUAAACAGGAACACUGGAGACGUAGACCGAUUUGCCGAAAGUUUUAAUAAAACAAACGACUCACCAUCAGAUAGUAUUGUUAGUAGUGAUCCGACGGACGAGAGUGGUGGAGACAUAUCUCUUCAGCUAAGACCUACAUUACCUAGGAAACAAUUUGAUAUCCCUAGGUUUAGUCCUACAGCUGCCUGGCGUUUACUAACUGCUUUAGAAAGUCCAACUCCAGUUAGUCCAAAUUGUAGUGGCGGAGAGGAAGAUUUGAUACCAAUUAUAGAUCAGCCCCACAAUUCUGGAGAUAAAUCUGGAGAUAGUGGUAUUUCUGGAGAUGCUAGUCCACAUUCAGCCCACAAUUCACAAGUGGCUUGGACUCCUCAGCAAGACUUAGAAGAAACAAGUUCAGAUGGAGGGUUGGAUUCAACACCAGUAUCACCUCAAAGUUUGGAUACUACACAAUUUUCUAGGACCCGUACAGUGGCUAGGCCAAGUUUUUGUCUAUCCUUACCAAGAGAUGAAAAUACAGGACUUGACAAAAGAUAUGGGCAGUUGAAUGAAGAUUUUUCACCAAUGAACCCGCCUAAAUCCAAUGGCUAUUUCAAAUCUAAAUUAAACAGAGGAAAAACCUCAAUUGAUAAAAAUAAAUCACACUUGGAUGAAAACUGGGUGUUGAGUAGAAGUGUACCAGAUUCAUUACAUCACUCAGGUCUAGUUGGUAAUUUUCCAUCGCAAAAUUGGACCCAAUUUAAUCAUCAAAACAACGAAGAACUGGCUGAUGAAGAAUUAGCUAUGUCUUCACUGCCCAAGUUUUCAUAUUUGGCAGCAGGUAGACGAGCUAUGUAUUUGCCAGAAUACAAAUCUUUGAACUAUUUAUAUGAGAAGGAUGUGAUGAAUGUACUUGAGAAUAAAGCCAUUGUAUCAAAAUCAUGUGAAGAUCUUACAAGAGAUGAUCAAGAGGACAACCAGUUAUCAAUCACGAAUGAAAAGUCUAAACAAAAAUCCACUAGUAAAAAGUUUGCAUUUCAGAGUACCAUACGACAAAUUGAACGAAAAAAAAUAGCUGAAAAAUUAUCAAAAGAAGCAGAGUACAAAGAACGCCAAAGAUUAAGUGAAAUGGAGGCUAUGCGUCGAGUGGAAGAAGAGUUUCAACGAAAAAGGGAAAGAGAAAAAGCAGAUAUUCGACAACAGUUAAGGCUUUACACAUUAACACAAGGUGAUAGAGAACCAGCACAACCUCUUCCAUCCAGUACUCAAAUUCUUUCAGAAUUUAGAGAGUCUAGACGUGACUAUAAAGACUUCAAUUCUUCCAGAGUUGAACACGAACCCAGUAAUCGUGCUGAAACUCCAGUUAAAAAGUCCACAACUAUACAUCCCAAAGUUGUGUACCAGAUGCCCAAAAGUACUCCAGUGUAUGUAACACCAAGUACUGUUCGUAAACAAUGUAGUGGAAUCGAAAAGAUUGGUUCGUCUACACCAACAACUGGUAACUACAGAAGAGAUUUUGCUCAAGGAGCUUUACCACAUUCGGUUGCGAGUUCAGACUCUGAAGUUUCAGUGUCAAAUACUCGACCAACUUCGCGUACAAAGCAUAGAAGCAGGUUUUAACAAGUACGAAGCUCGGGAUUAAGUGUAUAUUCUAGUCAACAAAAUCAAGUCACCAUUUCACCAAUAUAGAUCUGCCAGUCCAAUAUCUGAUCGAGAAAAAGAAAACAAUGGUAUUGGAUUAAAUCUCGAUUAUGUGCAUAUCAUCCAAAGUUUAAAGGAA
rnacentral:misc_RNA from 1 species